GCAGGAUAUCUAGUAAUCACAAGUUUGGUUUAUCACAGACAUGACUGAGACUUGGGGAUCAAUCUCCUUUAAUAAUGUUAACGUAAAUAGUGUUUUAUGUAAAUACUACUUUCUCUAGGUCACCUCAUCAUCACCUCACUGUCACCUCACUGUCACCUCACUAUCACCUCAGUAUCACCUCAAUAUCACCUGUUUCCCCAAGUUAAAAUGUGUUAAGUUUUUGAUGUGAAUAUGACUUUUCUAGGAGGUGAAUUUAGCCCUUGUGUUAAUAGUGUUUUUUUAUGUAAAUGCUACUUUCUCUGGGCUGUUGAAUUUAUCCCCAAGUUAAAAUAUACUGAUUUUUGACAUUAAUAACUGUUAACUACUUCUUCUACGGAGGUGAAUUUAUCCUUAAGUUAAAAAUGCUGAGUUUUUAUAUGAAUACAGCUUUUUCUAGGAAGUGAAUUUAUCCUCAAGUUAAAAUAUGUUAAGUUUUUACACAAAUAAUACUUUUUCUAGGAAGUGAAUUUAUCCUGAAGUUAAAAUAUGUUAAGUUUUUACACAAAUAAUACUUUUUCUAGGAAGUGAAUUUAUCCUGAAGUUAAAAUAUGUUAAGUUUUUACACAAAUAAUACUUUUUCUAGGAAGUGAAUUUAUCCUCAAGUUAAAAUAUGUUAAGUUUUUACACAAAUAAUACUUUUUCUAGGGGGUGAAUUUAUCCUCAAGUUAAAAUAUGUUAAGUUUUUACACAAAUAAUACUUUUUCUAGGGGGUGAAUUUAUCCUCGUUAAAAUAUGUUAAGUUUUUACACAAAUAAUACUUUUUCUAGGGGGUGAAUUUAUCCUCAAGUUAAAAUAUGUUAAGUUUUUACACAAAUAAUACUUUUUCUAGGGGGUGAAUUUAUCCUCAAGUUAAAAUAUGUUAAGUUUUUACACAAAUAAUACUUUUUCUAGGAGGUGAAUUUAUCCUCAAGUCAAACCCAUCACACGGCCUUGAGGGACAACUUUCUAGGAGGUGAAUCUAUCCCUGAGUGAAAUAUAUUGAGUCUUCAUAUAACUAUCCUGCUUUCUCUAGGGAGGUGAAUUUCUCCUCAUGUCAAACCCAUCACACAGCCUUGAGGGACAACUUUCUAGGAGGUGAGUCUAUCCCUGAGUCUUCAUAUAACUAUCCUGCUUUCUCUAGGGAGGUGAAUUUCUCCUCAAGUCAAACCCAUCACACAGCCUUGAGGGACAACUUUCUAGGAGGUGAAUCUAUCCCUGAGUCUUCAUAUAACUAUCCUGCUUUCUCUAGGGAGGUGAAUUUCUCCUCAAGUCUAACCCAUCACACGGCCUGGAGGGACAACUCUAACAGGAGGCUACAAGGUACAUUUUCCCUGCCACAAGAUGUACCAUUAUGAACAGGCUUUCUAAUGUCUCUGCUGCAGGCCGGGCGCAACACAGCAACACAGCAACAACACCUGGGCCUAAUGUUGAGCCCCAGGUGGUCCCUCAGGUGUUGUGUGUGGUGCUGGGGACACACACACACACACAAAUGACCCCUUAAGUGUAUGUAGCUUGGUUCCGAUAUAACACACACACACACACACACACACAGCAAUACACCCUCACAUCAUAUCAAACCCACAAUCCUCGCUCGUAAAAAUCAAUAUAUCAACAAAACAUAUAUUAACAGGCGCAUUUUAUGGAGACAGAAGCACAGAGUAUAUAAUUAUUGACUACAGGUCCUUAGCCUAUGAGCCAUACAGACAGACAUAACAUACAGAGCAGCACUAUGUUAAAGCUUACUACUAGAGGUCUGUGUUUUUAAAUGUCUUGGCUCCCACUAUGGCUGUUUUCCCAAGGCCACGGGGAAGAUUAACUGGGUUUUCAUGGGGGUCAUUUUCCCGUUCAAGGUGCAGAGGGCAUGUUAAACUAUCCCUGGGGUCACAAAACAGUCCAUGAAAAUCCCAGCGGCAACUUCUACGGCUGUUUUCCCAAGGCCACGGGGAAGAUUAACUGGGUUUUCAUGGGGGUCAUUUUCCCGUUCAAGGUGCAGAGGGCAUGUUAAACUAUCCCUGGGGUCACAAAACAGUCCAUGAAAAUCCCAGCAGCUUCCACCAUGAGAGACUCUUCAAACAGGCUAUGUGGGGGCGCCGAGACCUUUAACAAUACAGGCUUAUGUCACUAUGGAUAUAUACACAAUACAUGACAGUACACUUGUCGCCAGUACCAAAGCUUGCCAGUACAGAAUCAUCCCAUUAGUCUAGUAGCACCAGAAGAGAGGAGAGGAGAGAGCAGUGUUAAGCUAGACUACUGUUAGCAUAAGGAAGAUGGCUACGAUAGGAGUGGUUAGGGCAAGAGUGUGAGUGAGUGGGAGAGCGAGAGAGCGGAUGGAGAGAAGAGGAAAGGAGGAAGAGCAUGGAGGAGGCGAGGAGAGCUGUGUUAAGCUAGCUGCUAGACUACUGUUAGCAUAAGAGAGAUGGCUACAAUAGGAGUGGUUAGAGAGGGAGAGAGCGGAUGGAGAGGAGGAGGAGGAGGAGAGGAGAGGUGUGUUAAGCUAGACUACUUUUGGCGUAAGGAAGGACGCUAUGUGAGGCACAAGACAUGAGUUAAGUGAGUGAGUGAGUGGUUAGGGAGAGAGAGACUAAGAGAGAGAGUGCGAGAGACAGACCAUGAACGUACAUUAGCAAGUUAUGUUAUAUAGGAGAGGUUAGGUGAUAUUGUGUUAGGAGAAGUUAGGUAAGGAUGUUAGGUUAGGAAGAAGUUAGGAAAGGAAGGAAGAAUGAAGGAAGGAAAAUUUGAAGUUAGGUUAGGAAGAGCUAUGUGAGGAAGAAGUUAGGUUAGGAAGAAGUUAGGAAAGGAAGGAAAAAUUGAAGUUAGGUUAGGAAGUUGGGUUAGGAAAGGAAGGAAGGAAGAAGGAUGGAAAAGCUGAAGUUAGGUUAGGAAGAGUUAAGUAGGAGAAGUUAGGUUAGGUUAGAGGUCAAAGAGGUUAUACUAGAGAGGUCACAUAGUAAGGAUGCUACAUGAAGAGGAGGUCAGGUCAGGUCAGGAAGAGGUUAUAUCAGAAGAGAAGGAUAUACUACAAGAGGUCAUGUUAGGAAGGGGUCAUGUUAGGAGGAAGGGAGGCCCAGAGUAUAUAUGUGUGUGUGUGUGAGGUGAUGGUGAAGUGAUAGUGAGGUGACAGUGAGGUGAUACUGAGGUGAUGGUGAGGUGACAGUGAGGUGACAGUGAGGUGAUACUGAGGUGAUGGUGAGGUGACAGUGAGGUGAUAGUGAGAUGACUUAUAAUGAAUGUGAUGGUGAGGGUCUGUGGACAGUUCGAUAUUAUUAUUAUUAUUAUUAUCAUUAUUAUUAUUAUUAUUAUUAUUAUUAUUAUUAUUAUUAUUAUUAUUAUCAUGAAAGUAGUGGCAUAGCUAGGAGAGUUUUUAUUACAUUGCCCCCCAAAAAAGGAAAAUUGACCCCCCUCUGCACCCCUAAGAUUAAUUCAUAAGCCAAAUAAAUAAAAUAAUGUAAUUUGAAGAGCUGAAGUUAUGUAUAUUGGCACUGACCUAUAAUUUUGGUACUUCAGACCCCAAGCUGUGCCACUGAGAGAGAGAGAGAGAAAGAGAGCGAGAGAGUGAGAGAGAGAGAAAAUUGGUGCUAGAAUUAGGGAGAGAUAAGUGAGAAAAAAAGAGAAAACACACACACACACACACACACACACACACACACACACACACACACACAUGCUUGUAGAGAAAUCAAUUUAAAGAAAAAAAAGAAAAAAAAGAAAUCCACACAAUUCACAACAUUAGCUUGAGAGAGAGAGAGAGAGAGAGAGAGAGAGAGAGAGAGAGAGAGAGAGAGAGAGAGAGAGAGAGAGAGAGAGAGAGAGAGAGAGAGAGAGAGAGAGAGAGAGUUAUAUAAGCAAACAUCAUUAUCAUUAUUAUUAUUAUCAAGGGCAAGGGAGGGGGAGGGGGGGUGACAGUCAUGCUGGUGAUGGGGGGGGUGAAGGGGUGAAGGGAUGAGGGGUGAUGCACACACACACACACACACACACACACACACACACACACACACACACACACACACACACACACACACACCAGGCCAAGCAAGGUUGAGGGUCACUAAAACAGAAGGGCAGCAAGCAGAGUGCCAACAUUUAGGAGAGUAAAAGCAAGGUGCAAGAGUGGCCCUAACAAGCCUUAAGUGGGCAAAAGGGACAGAGUGCCAACAUGUGCAUGAGGCGUCAGUCAGUGGAGAGUCAGGGAGUGCCAAGAAGAAAAGCAGCAACAGCCAGUCAGUCAUUGGGGGGUAAGAGAGUGCCAAGAAGGAAAGUAACAACAGCCAGUCAGUCAUUGGGGGGUAAGAGAGUGCCAAGAAGGAAAGUAACAAGGUACGAGAAGAAAACAAAAGAAUAAUAAGGAAAGUAGCCAGGCAUUAGGGGUGUCAGUCAUUGGGGGGUAAGAGAGUGCCAAGAAGGAAAGUAACAACAGCAAGUCAGUCAUUGGGGGGUAAGAGAGUGCCGAGAAGGAAAGUAACAAGGUACAAGAAGAAAACAAAAGAAUAAUAAGGAAAGUAGCCAGGCAUUAGGGGUGUCAGUCAUUGGGGGGUAAGAGAGUGCCAAGAAGGAAAGUAACAACAGCCAGUCAGUCAUUGGGGGGUAAGAGAGUGCCAAGAAGGAAAGUAACAAGGUACGAGAAGAAAACAAAAGAAUAAUAAGGAAAGUAGCCAGGCAUUAGGGGUGUCAGUCAUUGGGGGGGUAAGAGAGUGCCAAGAAGGAAAGUAACAACAGCCAGUCAGUCAUUGGGGGGGUAAGAGAGUGCCAAGAAGGAAAGUAACAACAGCCAGUCAGUCAUUGGGGGGGUAAGAGAGUGCCAAGAAGGAAAGUAACAACAGCCAGUCAGUCAUUGGGGGGUAAGGGAGUGCCGAGAAGGAAAGUAACAAGGUACAAGAAGAAAACAAAAGAAUAAUAAGGAAAGUAGCCAGGCAUUAGGGGUGUCAGUCAGUCUUCAGCGGCACUAUCAGGCACUAGGCAGGCAGAAGAACAGUGUCAAGAAGUGGGAAUGUACCAAGAGGGCGUAAGAUGUGGCACUAACAACCACACACAAGGCAGGGAGGAGGGACACUGCCAGUAUGAGGGGAGGCAGUAAUAGUAGGAAUGGAAGUAAUAGUAAUAGUAGUAAUAGUAGCAGGGAGGCAGUAAUAGUAGGAAUGGUAGUAAUAGUAGGAAUAGUAGUAAUAGUAGCAGGGAGGCAGUAAUAGUAGGAAUGGUAGUAAUAGUAGGAAUAGUAGUAAUAGUAGCAGGGAGGCAGUAAUAGUAGGAAUGGUAGUAAUAGUAAUAGUAGGAAUAGUAGUAAUAGUAGCAGGGAGGCAGUAAUAGUAGGAAUGGUAGUAAUAGUAAUAGUAGGAAUAGUAGUAAUAGUAGCAGGGAGGCAGUAAUAGUAGGAAUGGAAGUAAUAGUAAUAGUAAUAAUAAUGGUAAUAGUAGGAAUAGUAGUAAUAGUAGCAAUAGUAGUAAUAGUAGCAAUAGUAGUAAUAGUAGCAGGGUUGGUAUGAUUUAAAUCAAAUGAUUUAAAUCAAGUGAUUUAAGUCGAUUUAAAUCAGAGUAAAAAAAUCAUGAUUUAAAUAAAAAAUAAAUCUACAGUAUUUAAAAUGAUUUAAGUGUUAUAUGAAGAGUAACAUAUCUAAUGAUGAAUCAGCUGUACAGGAAAAGUUAUC